rnacentral:rRNA from 1 species
UACGUAGGGUCCGAGCGUUGUCCGGAGUUACUGGGCGUAAAGCGCGCGCAGGCGGCGGUGUAAGCAUGGCGUGGAAGCCCCAGGCUCAACCUGGGAGGGUCGUCGUGGACUGCACCGCUUGAGGGCGGUAGGGGCUGGUGGAAUGCCUGGUGUAGUGGUGAAAUGCGUAGAGAUCAGGCGGAACACCCGUGGCGAAGGCGGCCAGCUGGGCCGUCCCUGACGCUGAGGCGCGAAGGCGUGGGGAGCGAACGGG